rnacentral:rRNA from 1 species
GACGAACGCUGGCGGCGUGCCUAAUACAUGCAAGUCGAACGCAGUGGGGAAGGGUGAGUAAAACGUGGGUAACCUCCCAUCAGAGGGGAUAACACUUGGAAACAGGUGCUAAACAGAUACUGAUGGCUGGACCGUCUGUGCAUGAGCUAGUUGGUGAGGUAACGGCUCACCAAGUCCUCGAGGAAUAGCCGAUCUUAGCGGGUGAUCAGCCACACUGGUACUGAGACACGGCCCAGACUCCGACUGGAGGCAGCAGUGGGGAAUCGUCGGCAAUGGACGAAAGUCUGACCCAGCAACGCCGCGUGAGUGAAUAAGGUUUUCGGAUCGUAAAGCUCUGUUAUUAGAGAAGCGGGAACUAACGAGAAAGCAACGGCUAACUACGUGCCAGCAGCCGCGGUAAUAC